CGGCGGACGGGUGAGUAACACGUGGGUAACCUACCUAUAAGACUGGGAUAACUUCGGGAAACCGGAGCUAAUACCGGAUAAUAUUUCAACCGCAUGGUUCGAUAGUGAAAGAUGGUUUUGCUAUCACUUAUAGAUGGACCUGCGCCGUAUUAGCUAGUUGGUAAGGUAACGGCUUACCAAGGCGACGAUACGUAGCCGACCUGAGAGGGUGAUCGGCCACACUGGAACUGAGACACGGUCCAGACUCCUACGGGGAGGCAGCAGCU
rnacentral:rRNA from 1 species